GACGAACGCUGGCGGCGUGCUUAACACAUGCAAGUCGAACGAAGAGCGAUGGAAGCUUGCUUCUAUCAAUCUUAGUGGCGAACGGGUGAGUAACGCGUAAUCAACCUGCCCUUCAGAGGGGGACAACAGUUGGAAACGACUGCUAAUACCGCAUACGAUCUAAUCUCGGCAUCGAGGAUAGAUGAAAGGUGGCCUCUACAUGUAAGCUAUCACUGAAGGAGGGGAUUGCGUCUGAUUAGCUAGUUGGAGGGGUAACGGCCCACCAAGGCGAUGAUCAGUAGCCGGUCUGAGAGGAUGAACGGCCACAUUGGGAAUGAGACACGGCCCAGACUCCUACGGGAGGCAGCAGUGGGGAAUCUUCCGCAAUGGACGAAAGUCUGACGGAGCAACGCCGCGUGAGUGAUGACGGCCUUCGGGUUGUAAAGCUCUGUUAAUCGGGACGAAAGGCCUUCUUGCGAAUAGUGAGAAGGAUUGACGGUACCGGUAUAGAAAGCCACGGCUAACUACGUG
rnacentral:rRNA from 1 species